rnacentral:rRNA from 1 species
GACAAACGCUGGCGGCGUGCCUAACACAUGCAAGUCGAACGGAACUGUUUUGAAAGAUUUCUUCGGAAUGAAUUUGAUUUAGUUUAGUGGCGGACGGGUGAGUAACGCGUGAGUAACCUGCCUUCAAGAGGGGGGUAACAUUCUGAAAAGAAUGCUAAUACCGCAUGACAUAUCGGAAUCACAUGAUUUUGAUAUCAAAGAUUUUAUCGCUUGAAGAUGGACUCGCGUCCGAUUAGUUAGUUGGUGAGGUAACGGCUCACCAAGACCGCGAUCGGUAGCCGGACUGAGAGGUUGAACGGCCACAUUGGGACUGAGACACGGCCCAGACUCCUACGGGAGGCAGCAGUGGGGGAUAUUGCGCAAUGGGGGCAACCCUGACGCAGCAACGCCGCGUGAAGGAUGAAGGUUUUCGGAUUGUAAACUUCUUUUAUUAAGGACGAAA